GUAGCAAUUGUAGCAAAUGAGACUACGAUCACAAUGAAUGCAAAAUAAGGUAUUUGUAUAGGCCAGUAGAAGAUUUUGCUAAGUGGAAGCUUUCAAGCAUAUUCUGCAUGAUGUAUUAUUCUGCCUGAUUUAAAUGUACCCUGUAAAUAGCUGUGAAACUCUUUAGUUUUACUAUUUAAAUCCUUGCCAUUCUGCUCUUUUUGUUUCCCCUUAUACACUGCUUAUUUUCCCUUUGUAGGGGUUUUUUCAGUGUUCUGAAGCUGGCAUGGGAGGACAUCAUACUGAAGAACCUGUUAAUUUUCAGCAAUACCGAAAUGUUCCUGCUGGAGUCUUUAAUGUUAUAAAGAGCUCUGUGGUUUUCUGCUUUGGCUAUUUUUAAAGUUUUCUAUGCCUACCUUUCCAUCUUAAUGACAUGCCAGGAGAGCACUUCACAUUCCAACAAAGGCAAUGAACUUUUUGAGUGCAAGCAGGUGGCUUUUGGAAAACUUUGUAGAAGAGAUUUAGUGCUGAAUUUUCUUCUUUUCAUGUUCCUUAAUGCAGUGUGAUAAGUUAGAACACUGUACUCAUAUUCUGUGGGCCUGAACAGCUGACAAUAUAAAAUACCUGACCCAAAACUUUUUCUCAAGGAGCAAGGAGAAUCAACAGUGGCUAUGUGGGAACAUUAAAAUGCCAUCUGGAAGUGGUGCUGUUGUGCCUUCGGCUAAAGUUUUCAUGAUAAGUUAACACUGCUUUCGAAAGAUUCAGCGUCUCUUCUUCUCGCUACCUGUUGUCUUUGUUAGUGCUAGCCUUAACAUGGCUGUGUGAGGAAUUGAGUCAAAGAACUGAUCUGAGCUAAAAUGACAUGGCAAAGAUAUUAAUGGUUGGGUUUUGACCCAGAACAAUUUCCUGAUUCAUUCCACUGUGCCUGUCCUCUCAUGUACGAAGGGUUGGCUUUAGGGUGUGAGUGGUGGAAAAGGGUAGGCUACUUCUACUGCCAAUGCCAGCUUAUAGAAUAUUAAGGUGAUUGUGAAAUUACAGUCUUAACCAAGAAACACUUCUUACCCCGUAUUUUCAUCAUAUCUUUGAAACAUGUUCGGUGGGUUUUAUUUCAGAUCUUAAUGUUAAAUAUACAGUGAGUUCUAUAAUCACCUGGAAGGAGCUUCUAUGGUCUGUUUAGUAAGUACCUAAUUCCAGAUGAUGGUAAAUAUAUUGUUGGUACUGCAAUUUGCAACAGGCCCCUCUUAACCAUUUCAGAAGGUUUCUUAAAUACAUUGAGCAUUUAAAUGUUGUUCUUCUCUUUUACCAUUCAUAUGGAACUGCUAAGUAUUUGCAGUUGAGUCCUUUUUAAACAUGGUAUUUUGGCUUUUUAUGCCUAGUGUGCUUUUCUAGUAGCGUGUCUUCAAGAAAUGGUGUGAAGUGGUUUGUUUGCAUCUAUUUUCUAUUGUUUCUUACUAUUGUUGUCUUCUGUUACAUGUCAGGCUAUGUAACGCUCUUUAGUUCAGGACUGUGGAUCUGUUUUGAAUUAACUUAUUCUCAGUGGUGUCAAUAAACUUUGCUUCUGUCCCCUAA